GUGGGGAAUAUUGGUCAAUGGGCGCAAGCCUGAUCCAGCCAUGCCGCGUGAGUGAUGAAGGCCUUAGGGUUGUAAAGCUCUUUCAGUGGGGACGAUAAUGACGGUACCCACAGAAGAAGCCCCGGCUAACUUCGUGCCAGCAGCCGCGGUAAUACGAAGGGGGCUAGCGUUGUUCGGAUUUACUGGGCGUAAAGCGCACGUAGGCGGAUCGUUAAGUCGGGGGUGAAAUCCUGGAGCUCAACUCCAGAACUGGCUUCGAUACUGGCGAUCUUGAGUCCGGAAGAGGUGAGUGGAACUCCUAGUGUAGAGGUGGAAUUCGUAGAUAUUAGGAAGAACACCAGUGGCGAAGGCGGCUCACUGGUCCGGUACUGACGCUGAGGUGCGAAAGCGUGGGGAGCAAACAGGAUUAGAAACCCGGGUAGUCC
rnacentral:rRNA from 1 species